rnacentral:lncRNA from 1 species
CAGUAUUAACUCACUGAAAGCAAAGAAAGUAAAUACAAGGAAGUCAUAUAUUCAUAGAAUACAUAUAGUUCCCAGGUAAAUAAUAUUUUCACAGUCAUAAUAAUAUAAACAGUAGAUACUGACCUUCUGCAAAUUGAUCAUAUAACUAUGUUGAGAGCAUGGGGGCAGGAAAGUGCUUGGUGGCAGGGAGCACCCACCUGAAGGGGUGGCAGGAAGAGGUGUGGGAAGGCCAACUCCUCAUCUUCAGUCACAAGUUAAUAGAGUGUCUAAAAUUGGAAAAUCUAGAAAUAAUAGCAUAAGCAUAUUAUUUAGAUAGAUGGGAGUGAACAACAGAAGUAGUUGCUAAAAAUUUGAAACUGUGGCUUCUAAGAGAUAGGAAAAGGGAGUUUAAGGCUUAAAGAAUUGCAUUUCUUAAUUUUAAACUAUGGACCUAUACAAUUUUGAUAAAAAUAAGGUUGCACAAAGGUUUACAGUAGGUUUACAAGUUUAGUUCUCCUAUUGCAGUAUUCUUGUCACCAAAUGCCUUCAAGAUCUAAGAAACUUCUAUCCACUAGCAACCAGCUACUUACUGACCAUUUAUAUCAGAGCACAGCCUUCUGCUGGUGAAUGGGUAACUAGCUAGCUUAGAGUAUUGUGAAUUCUGCAUUUGCUGCAAGAUCAGAAGCUUCAGGGAUUUCUUAAAAUGUUACCAUUCCCAAUGGAUAUUGCUCAUCGCGUGUGACAAAGAGAAGACAAGAUGUCAUGGGAGACAAGACAGCCCACAGUAGGCAGAUCUUUUUCUUCUAAAAAGCCGCCUUUUUGAUAUGCUCUUGUAAGCAACAAAAUGACUUAAGAAUGUUGUAAAUGUGGAAGGAACAAGAUAUAACACAGUCUAAUAAAUUAGCAUGGAUGGCUUCAAGAUCUACAUUCUGUUCUUCCAGAGCACACAGCAACAAUCAUGGGUUAAUUGCUCCAGGAAACUAAUAAGUAGAGCUGCUUCUGAGAGCAAAAUAGAAGACCACUGUAAUAUUUUCAAGCCUUCCCCUGGCUGUGUUCUGUCUUGCCAUACUUCCUUUGGGCUGCGUGGCUUUUAGCCUUUUGUUGUUGUUGUUCAGGAUGGAGUGAAAGCCAUUUGUUCCAUAUCAGAAAUUUAGAAAAUGUAUCCUUUUCUGAGCUCCCAGUUACUAAUGUAUUAAAUUC